GUAUUGGCAAGUAAAGAAUUUAAAUUCACGUCUAGUUAGUGAUUAGUUCUCGCAGUUGAAAGAAAAACGUAAAAAUAAUUAAUAAUCAUGGAUAUUUCGGCCUUUAAAAUUUCAUCAAAUUUGACAAGUACGUAUUGUUAGUGUGAGUGACGGCUGACUGAGUAUAGCGGCACAAAUGAGAACUAUAUAUAAAUGAUUAACGCUGUCGCACCAAGAUAACCGUGAGAUGGCGUUAUUUAUUCUUUUCAAAUUGGAUAUAUCGUAGUAGAAUAUACAUGAAUCAUUUAAAAACACAUCAAAUAUGAUAUGCCUUUUAAAUAAUUUUGUAAUGGGAAAAAUAGAAAAUAGAAAUGAGGAGAAUCACUAACUUUUUAUCACGACAGAGGGCGCACUGUACCUUGGCUUGACAAAACAAACGUCAAACCGUAUGACGUAUCACUGAGUGUUUAUGUAUAUAAUAUACUUUUGUUCCAAAUGCCUCAAUGCAGUGCGUUAAAUUGUAAAAACAGAGGAAAACAUUUAUUUCCAAAGGAAAGUAAACGUAGAAAGCAAUGGGAAUCUGCGUUACGUAUAAAAAACUUCGAAGCUAGUAGCACAGCACGAUUGUGUGUUGCGCAUUUUACAGAAAAAAGAUUAUUACGGGAAAAUCAAUUAUACAGGUUAUGAGCUCCUUGCAAAAUUUCUUAAAAAGACAGCUGUGCUAUCUGUGUUCUUCUUAACGAAGAUAAAACCAGAAAAUCCAGCUGUUGUGGCACAUCAACAACGUAUUGAACGAAGAAGUCAGUCGAGUAACAAAUGUAGAUGAUUCACAACCAUCAAGUAGCAAAGUUAACCUAAUAAGUGACAGACAAUUUACUGGAAGUUGAUCAUGAAGAAGCAGUCAAAACAGAAGACAACAGUGCAGUAGGAUGUACAUAUAUUAUGCAUGAAUUUAUAUCUAAGGGCACUCAAGUUGAUCAAGAACACAAAUAUGGGUUUAUGAAUAGAUAUAAAGAUGAUAAUGCCACUAUUAAGUUUUACACAGGUUUUGAAUCAUAUAAAAAUUUAAUUUAGUCUACUCAGCUCUUAGUCCAGUGGUUCACAAAAUAAAAUAUUAUGGCAGCAAUGUGAUUAUUCUUAGCAGUGAUUCUAAUUCUAAUUUAUUAGUUGGUGCAAUACCUGGUAGCUUGCUGUUAUAUUGUUCUCAAGCAUUUGCAGGAUUGAUAAGUGAUCAGUAGGCAGUGGAACAAAGUGACCUUUUAGCAAAAUGUGAAAGUGGUAGUAUAUACUGACUGACAGAGGAUUUAUGAUACAAUAUAUAUUUCAUCAGACAAAAAUGUGACCAUUAGGAUUCCCAGUUUCUUAAAAGAAAAAUUUCAGUUGCCUGGUCUUAAUGUAAUAAAAGAUAGGGAGCUUGCAAACAAAGGAGUUCAUAUAGAAAGAAUAAUAGGAUUAACAAAGACAAACAAAAUUUAAAAAAUGAAUUAGACCAUAACUAUAUCCCAAUAGUGAGCAAAAUCUUUUUUUAUGUUUUAUGUGCUAAACAUCUACAAUUUCAGGAAUUAUACUAUUACUAUAUUGUGAAAGAUAUUAGAUAAAAAGAUGUAAUUAUUUCAAUUUAUUUAUUAAUUGUAAAUAGUUCUUAUACACAUACUUAUUUACAUUUCUGGUUCUAAAUUAUGUACAUAAAAGUUUAACAAAUUUGUCAACAUGCCAUUAAUAAAUGAGUCAUCUCUA